rnacentral:rRNA from 1 species
GACGAACGCUGGCGGCGUGCUUAACACAUGCAAGUCGAACGGAAAGGCCCUGCUUUUGUGGGGUGCUCGAGUGGCGAACGGGUGAGUAACACGUGAGUAACCUGCCCUUGACUUUGGGAUAACUUCAGGAAACUGGGGCUAAUACCGGAUAGGAGCUCCUGCUGCAUGGUGGGGGUCGGAAAGUUUCGGCGGUUGGGGAUGGACUCGCGGCUUAUCAGCUUGUUGGUGGGGUAGUGGCUUACCAAGGCUUUGACGGGUAGCCGGCCUGAGAGGGUGGCCGGCCACAAUGGGACUGAGAUACGGCCCAGACUCCUACGGGAGGCAGCAGUGGGGAAUAUUGCACAAUGGGCGGGAGCCUGAUGCAGCAGCGCCGCGUGCGGGAUGACGGCCUUCGGGUUGUAAACCGCUUUCGCCUGUGACGAAGCGUGAGUGACGGUAAUGGGUAAAGAAGCACCGGCUAACUACGUG